rnacentral:rRNA from 1 species
UAACGCGAAGAACCUUACCUGGGUUUGACAUACACCCUGCCGCUCCAGAGAUGGGGCUUCUUUUGGGGGUGUACAGGUGGUGCAUGGCUGUCGUCAGCUCGUGUCGUGAGAUGUUGGGUUAAGUCCCGCAACGAGCGCAACCCUCGUUCUAUGUUGCCAGCACGUCCUUUCGGGGAUGGUGGGGACUCAUAGGAGACUGCCGGGGUCAACUCGGAGGAAGGUGGGGAUGACGUCAAGUCAUCAUGCCCCUUAUGUCCAGGGCUUCACGCAUGCUACAAUGGCCGGUACAAAGGGCUGCGAUCCCGUAAGGGGGAGCGAAUCCCAAAAAGCCGGUCUCAGUUCGGAUUGGGGUCUGCAACUCGACCCCAUGAAGUCGGAGUCGCUAGUAAUCGCAGAUCAGCAACGCUGCGGUGAAUACGUUCCCGGGUCUUGUACACACCGA